rnacentral:ncRNA from 1 species
CGGAGAAUGUUCCUUAUUACGCAGCCUUCUUGAGAAAUCAAGAAGUGAAGAAUGAGGUGAAUUGCUGGAAGCCUACGGUCGCUCAGCUCAGCACGACUAUGGUAAUCAGCAGCCAAGCCCGUAAGGGAAGGUUCAGAGACUAUCUCGCAAGAGAGUACUUCGAUAUCUAUGUAAAUAGUAUCGCGGGAAGCGCCUCACUCCUAAAGCAGUGUGCUACGGAGAUGAUAUAGUCCAUUCUUUUUGGAAACAAAGAG